UACAGAGGUCCCAAGCGUUACUGAGAAUCACUGGGUUUAAAGGGUGCGUAGGUGGUCCGUUAAGUCAGUUGUGAAAUCCCCGGGCUCAACCCGGGAAAUGCUUCUGAUACUGGCGGACUUGAGGCCAGUAGGGGUCACUAGAACUGACGGUGGAGCGGUGAAAUGCGUAGAUAUCUGGAGGAACAUCAGUGGCGAAGGCGACACCCUGGACUCAUACUGACACUGAGGUGCGAAAGCGUGGGGAGCAAACAGG
rnacentral:rRNA from 1 species